AUUAUAUCGUGCAGGUCUACCAUAAUGUUACGAAAGCUUCAUGUUGUUAAGAAACUUAACAGGAAUUUGUGUUUUUGAAGCAUUGUAUAUUAAACACAAUACUUAUUUCUUAAAAUACACACAAUUUGCGGUCAAUGUAACAAUGUGUCACUGCUGUAAAUACCAUAGAUUAGCCGUUAGCAACUCCGUCGUAUAGUCGACCGAAUUUCUAGUUUGCACCGUGUCAGCUGUUGCUGAUGAUACGAAGGUUAAGGAAUUUACGAACAGAAGUUUUCGAGAAGCACUCCUCAUCAUAUUUCAAAAAAGUUCGCUGUAAAUAUGGAAUCCACAGGAGAGUUAGAGGCAGUCACAAUGUGUGGUGAAAUCGACAUCAAAGAGGAAUCAGUAUUAACUGAUCCCAACUGGCAAUUGUUCGAAGAAACUGAACAUAUCUUCAUUAAGGAAGAGAAUGUUGAAUCUCCGCCACAAGAAGAAACCAUUUCUCCACCUGAUGCAGUACACACAAAAAAAGAACCUGAGCUCCAGAAGGAAGUAGAGGCAACAAGUUGUGGCAUUGAACCAAGAAGCUUAUUGCACAUGGAGGACCCCCUUGUUUUUGGAGCGACUACCCUGGCAGUGACAGUAAAUCUUUGGAUUAGGGCAGAACGGCGACGAAAACGAAAAGCCAGACGUUGUUGGGUUCGACCGUGGCUGGAAAGAACGGACGAAGAUAGGGGAGUAUAUUCACUGUUAAUGAAAGAACCGAGGCCCGAAGAUCCACAAGAAUUUCGGAACUUCGUAAGGAUGGACAUGGCUUGUUUCAAGAAGCUGCUGUCUAUGAUAGAAAAUAGAAUCAGAAAGUGUGACACAGUGAUGAGGGAGGCUAUCUCACCUUCUCGAAAGCUGGUUGUAACAUAACGGUUCCUGGCGACUGGAGAAUCUUUUAAGAGUCUGGCCUUUAGCCACAGAAUAGCACAGCCCACCAUUUCAAAAGCUGUUGUGGAUGUGUGCACUGCAAUUUGCAACACUUUAAAGGACCAGUACUUAAAGGCACCAGCAACAGAAGAAGAGUGGGAGAAAAUUGCCAAAGAAUUUGAUGAGCUGUGGCAGUUUCCAAACUGCAUUGGU
rnacentral:misc_RNA from 1 species